GAGACUGUCUGGAGUCUGUCUGAAACUGAUAAAAUUGGAGAUGGAGUUAAGGCUCUAGCUAUGUAAAUUGAUAAGAAAUCAUGAAUUCGAAAUGGGAAUUUACAGUCACUCAACAAUGCUAGCGAUUGAAUUACGACGCAAUACAAAUCAAUAUUUAGGCUCAUGCUUUGAAAGUUUUCCAAUGUUUAUCAUCAGACAAUUCAUUAUGCACAGGUAUGAUCUUCUUCGGGUUCUGAAAAGAAGCCUAUCAGCUGAAGUUUAAGCGUAACGUGGCAUUUCAAUGGAGCAAUUAUUUGAAAGGGGCCCUUAUGACACCUUGAACCCUGUCGAUAACCCCCCCAUGUCUGUAGUGAUGACACUUUUCCAGGGAUGAUGUGUGAGAGGAGGAUGGCUGUGGUGUGCACCACGAAGAAGAUGUCAUGCUGAGGAUGGGUUUCUGCACUGAUGUUUUUGGUGUGAUGUAGCGGCGGCUCUCUCACUGUGUCUCUGUUGCCCAUGAUGCGWAACCAUAGAGAGUGAUUGACAGCGUGGUCCCUACACAGCAAAGGGGGCCUGAGGAUUUUCUGAGACGUCACAAGAAGUUACUGCCAUGGAUUGAGAACCUCAACUACAAAAGGUGACGAUGCACAGGGAAGGAUUUGUGAAUGGAAGCUGUUCACGGUCUAUGCUAGAUCAUAGAUCACAUGUGCUGUGAGACCGUUGCAGUGGUGUAAAGUACUUAAGUAAAACUACUUUAAAGUACUUAAAGUAAAGUA